rnacentral:rRNA from 1 species
GACGAACGCUGGCGGCGUGCUUAACACAUGCAAGUCGAACGGAAAGGCCCUGCUUUUGUGGGGUGCUCGAGUGGCGAACGGGUGAGUAACACGUGAGUAACCUGCCCUUGACUUUGGGAUAACUUCAGGAAACUGGGGCUAAUACCGGAUAGGAGCUCCUGCUGCAUGGUGGGGAUUGGAAAGUUUCGGCGGUUGGGGAUGGACUCGCGGCUUAUCAGCUUGUUGGUGGGGUAGUGGCUUACCAAGGCUUUGACGGGUAGCCGGCCUGAGAGGGUGACCGGCCACAUUGGGACUGAGAUACGGCCCAGACUCCUACGGGAGGCAGCAGUGGGGAAUAUUGCACAAUGGGCGGAAGCCUGAUGCAGCAACGCCGCGUGCGGGAUGACGGCCUUCGGGUUGUAAACCGCUUUCGCCUGUGACGAAGCGUGAGUGACGGUAAUGGGUAAAGAAGCGCCGGCUAACUACGUG